UUCCCAAUGGUUCAGUGGUCAGGAAUCUGCCUGCAAAGCAGGAGACCCAAGUUUAAUCCCUGGGUGGGAAA
rnacentral:tRNA from 1 species